rnacentral:rRNA from 1 species
ACGGGAGGCAGCAGUGGGGAAUAUUGCACAAUGGGGGAAACCCUGAUGCAGCGACGCCGCGUGGGUGAAGAAGUUUUUCGGAAUGUAAAGCCCUAUCAGCAGGGAAGAUAAUGACGGUACCUGACUAAGAAGCCCCGGCUAACUACGUGCCAGCAGCCGCGGUAAUACGUAGGUGGCAAGCGUUGUCCGGAAUUACUGGGUGUAAAGGGAGCGCAGGCGGGACUGCAAGUUGGAUGUGAAAUACCGGAGCUCAACUCCGGGGCUGCAUCCAAAACUGUAGUUCUUGAGUGGAGUAGAGGUAAGCGGAAUUUCGAGUGUAGCGGUGAAAUGCGUAGAUAUUCGGAGGAACACCAGUGGCGAAGGCGGCUUACUGGGCUCUAACUGACGCUGAGGCUCGAAAGCGUGGGGAGCAAACAGGAUUAGAUACCCUGGUA